CCUACGGGAGGCAGCAGUGAGGAAUAUUGGUCAAUGGACGAGAGUCUGAACCAGCCAAGUCGCGUGAAGGAUGACUGCCCUAUGGGUUGUAAACUUCUUUUAUAAAGGAAUAAAACGAGGCACGUGUGCCUUUUUGCAUGUACUUUAUGAAUAAGGAUCGGCUAACUCCGUGCCAGCAGCCGCGGUAAUACGGAGGAUCCGAGCGUUAUCCGGAUUUAUUGGGUUUAAAGGGAGCGUAGAUGGGUUGUUAAGUCAGUUGUGAAAGUUUGCGGCUCAACCGUAAAAUUGCAAUUGAUACUGGCAGUCGUGAGUACAGUUGAGGUAGGCGGAAUUCGUGGUGUAGCGGUGAAAUGCUUAGAUAUCACGAAGAACACCGAUUGCGAAGGCAGCUUACUAAACUGUAACUGACAUUGAUGCGCGAAAGUGUGGGUAUCAAACAGGAUUAGAUACCCGAGUAGUC
rnacentral:rRNA from 1 species